rnacentral:lncRNA from 1 species
GGCUGAGGAAGGCCAGCACUGGGGUGUGCAGGGUUCGAGAAAGCUCCCAGGGCCUGCCUUCCUUCCCUGAGCUCAUAUAUUUGUAUCCCCUUUUCAGACUCCUGAGGAAGAAGAGAUUUUAAACAAAAAACGAUCUAAAAAAAUUCAGAAGAAAUAUGAUGAAAGGAAAAAGAAUGCCAAAAUCAGCAGUCUCCUGGAGGAGCAGUUCCAGCAGGGCAAGCUUCUUGCGUGCAUCGCUUCAAGGCCGGGACAGUGUGGCCGAGCAGAUGGCUAUGUGCUAGAGGGCAAAGAGUUGGAGUUCUAUCUUAGGAAAAUCAAGGCCCGCAAAGGCAAAUAAAUCCUUGUUUUGUCUUCACCCAUGUAAUAAAGGUGUUUAUUGUUUUGUUCCCAC